rnacentral:lncRNA from 1 species
GUGGGUUUUGGUGUCUCUCAGGUGGUUUUGGUCUAUCUCAGGUGGGUUUGGUGUAUCUCAGGUGGUUUUGGUGUAUCUCAGGUGGUUUUGGUGUCUCUCAGGUGGGUUUGGUGUCUCUCAGGUGGGUUUUGGUCUAUCUCAGGUGAAUUUUGGUGUCUCUCAGGUGGUUUUGGUCUAUCUCAGGUGGGUUUUGGUGUAUCUCAGGUGUAUCUCAGGUGGGUUUUGGUGUAUCUCAGGUGGUUUUGGUGUAUCUCAGGUGGGUUUGGUGUAUCUCAGGUGGUUUUGGUGUCUCUCAGGUGGUUUUGGUGUCUCUCAGGUGGGUUUGGUGUCUCUCAGGUGGGUUUGGUGUCUCUCAGGUGUAUCUCAGGUGGGUUUUUGGGUCUCCCAGGUGUCUCUCAGGUGCACCGGUUGGUUACUGGCUGGUUACUGGUUGGUUAGUGGUUGGUUAGUGGUUGGUUAGCGGUUGGUUAGUGGUUGGUUAGCGGUUGGUUAGUGGGUUGGUUACGGGUUGGUUACCGUGGUUAGUGGUUGGUUAGCGGUUGGUUAGCGGUUGGUUAGUGGGUUGGUUAGUGGGUUGGUUACCGUGGUUAGUGGUUGGUUAGUGGUUGGUUAGCGGUUGGUUAGCGGUUGGUUAGUGGUCGGUUAGUGGGCCCCGGGCAGCGGUCGCUGGGGUCGCUUCCCGCGGUCACCGGGUCCCUCCAGCCGGUUGACGCCUUUGCCGCCGUCGUGGUCGCCAUGGAGACCAUGGAGAUGCUUCUCCUGGUGGUGGUCAUGGUGGUCGCCAUGGAGACCGUGAAGAUGCUUCUCCUGGUGCUGGUGGCCCUGGAGAUCGUUGUGGUCGCCAUGGAAACCGUGAAGGUGCUUCUCCUGGUGCUGGUCCCCGUGCUUCUCCUGCUGGUGGUGGCCGUGGAGACCGUGGGGAUGUUUCUCCAGGUGAUGGUUGCCAUGGAGACCAUCGUGGUCGCCAUGGAGAUCCUUGUGGUUGCCCUGGUGACCGCCAUGGUGGUCCCUGUGCUUCUCCUGGUGGCGGUUGCCAUGGUGACCGUCGUGGUCGCCGUGGAGAUCAUAAAGAUGUUUCUCCAUGUGGUGGUUGCCAUGGAGACCAUCGUGGUGGUGGUCCCCAUGGUUUUCAUGGUGGUGGUUGCCAUGGAGACCAUAAUGGUUGCUAUGGAGAUGGUGGGGAUGCUUCUCCUGGCGGUGGUUGCCAUGGAGACCGUCGUGGUGGUCCCCGCGCUUCUCCUGGUGAUGGUUGCCAUGGAGAUCGUCGUGGUUGCCAUGGAAACGGUGAUGCUCGGCGUGGUCCCUGUGCUUUUCCUGGUGAUGGUCGCCAUGGUGACCGUGGGGAUGUCUCUCCUGGUAGUGGUUGCCAUGGAGACCGUGAAGAUGCUUUUCAUGGUGGUGGCUCUCAUGGAAACCAUCGUGGUUGCCAUGGAAACCAUGGGCAUGCUUCUCCUGGUGGUGGUCGCCAUGGAAACCAUCGUGGUUGCCAUGGAAACCAUCGUGGUUGCCAUGGAGACCGUGGGGAUGCUUUUCAUGGUGAUGGUUGCCGUGGUAGCCAUCGUGGUGGUCCCCGUGCUUCUCCUGGUGAUGGUUUCCAUGGAGAUCAUCAUGGUUGUCAUGGUGACCGUGAUGCUGGGCGUGGUCCCCGUGCUUCUCCUGGUGGUGGUUGCCAUGGAGACCAUGAAGAUGUUUCUCCAGGUGAUGGUUGCCACGCAGAUGGUGGUGGUUGCCAUGGUGACCGUCACGGACAUCCCCGUGCUUUUCCUGGUGGUGGUUGCCAUGGUGACCAUCGUGGUCGCCAUGGCGACCGUGGGGAUGUUUCUCCUGGUGGUGGUCGCCGUGGUGACCGUGCUUCUCGUGGUGAUGGUUGCCAUGGAAACCGUGAUGCUGGGCGUGGUCCCCGUGCUUCUCCUGGUGGUGGUUGCCAUGGACACCAUGGGGAUGCUUCUCCACGUGGUGGUUGCCAUGGAAACUGUGAAGAUGCUUCUCGUGGUCGCCGUGGAGACCGUGGUGGUUGCCAUGGUGACCGUGAUGCUCAGCGUGGUCCCCGUGCUUUUCGUGAUGGUGGUCGCCAUGGUGACCAUCGUGGUGGUCCCCGUACUUCUCGUGGUGAUGGUUGCCAUGGUGACCAUGGGGAUGUUUCUCAUGGUGGUGGUCACCAUGGUGACCAUGAAGAUGCUUCUCCUGGUGGUGGUCACCAUGGAGACCAUGGUGGUUGCCAUGGAGACCAUGGGGAUGCUUUUCAUGGUGGUUGCCGUGGAGAUCGUUGUGGUUGCCAUGGUGACCAUGAAGAUGUUUCUCUUGGUGGUGGUCACCAUGGAGACCAUCGUGGUU